AGAGUUUGAUCAUGGCUCAGAAUGGACGUUGGCGGCGUGGAUUAGGCAUGCGAGUCGCGCGAUAAUGUAGCAAUACAGGACAGCGGCGAAAGGGAGAGGACAACAUAGGAAUCUGCCCUGGGGUCGGGGAUAGCGUCGGGAAACUGACGGUAAUACCCGAUAAUAUCCAAGGAUCAAAGGAGCAAUUUGCCCCGGGAUGAGCCUAUGCCCCAUUAGCUAGUUGGCGGUGUAAUGGACCACCAAGGCUGUGAUGGGUAGCUGGUGUGAGAGCACGACCAGCCUCACUGGCACUGAGACACUGGCCAGACACCUACGGGUGGCUGCAGUCGAGAAUCUUCGGCAAUGGACGAAAGUCUGACCGAGCGACGCCGCGUGUGGGAUGAAGGUCUUCGGAUUGUAAACCACUGUCGAGGGGGAUUAAGGGAAACUUGAAAGAACCCUGGAGGAAGGGGAGGCUAAGCUCGUGCCAGCAGCCGCGGUAAGACGAGCUCCCCAAACGUUAUUCGGUAUUACUGGGCUUAAAGAGUUCGUAGGCGGCGAAGUAGGUGAGGUGUGAAAGCCCUCGGCUCAACCGAGGAACUGCGCUUCAAACCACUUUGCUAGAGGGAGAUAGGGGUAAGCGGAACAGAUGGUGGAACGGUGAAAUGUAUUGAUAUCAUCUGGAACGCCGGUGGCGAAAGCGGCUUACUGGGUCUUUUCUGACGCUGAGGAACGAAAGCUAGGGUAGCGAACGGGAUUAGAUACCCCGGUAGUCCUAGCCGUAAACGAUGAGCACUAGUCUGAGGGACUUUCACGGUUUCUCGGACGUAGCGAAAGUGUUAAGUGCUCCGCCUGGGGAGUAUGGUCGCA
rnacentral:rRNA from 1 species